GUGGGGUCGUCGAAUCGGGAAAAGAAAGAAGAAAUUAAAAAUUUGAACUUACGUAGUGGAAAAAAGUAUUUUACGUAUAAUUAAAAAGUCCGGUCAUGAAAACUAUAUAAAUAGUAAAUAACCUACUAAAUAAUGAAUUUGAUAUUCUCGAAACUUAUUGCAAGGCAGAAAGAUACCAGGUACUACAACAAUACAACAUACAGGCAGUCAUUAUUAUUAACAAUUCUUAUAACUAUAAUACGUCACACUACUCUAUGCAAGUUGUAAAUGCCAUGAAAUAUAUAUUUUCCUGUACUUCAGUAGUGGCCAAAACUCAAAGGUGUAUUUUAAGGCGUACAUUAAAGACAUUUUAUAAACCAAUGGCGUCUGCGGUCCAAUGCACAUAUUAUUGUGUUUAUGGCUUGAUGUACGACUUAUACUAGGUCUGUAGGCCAAGGUGGUUUGGUAUUCGACGGGUGUGUGUUUACAAACAAUCAUGCCCGUCUCGAUCAUGCGUGGAGUAUAUAUACCGGACUUUGGUGUCUGGCUGCACGCUGUCGCCGCCACCCGCGGAGAAAGAGACAUAGACAGAGAAAUUGCUAUAGCUGACGCGGUAAUGUGAGACAUAAUAUAAUAGUAGGUACUUAUAAUAAUAAUAAUAAUAAUAUGUAGGUAAUAAGACGUUCUAUACCUAAUAAUAAACGGUUGGUAUAUAUAAUAUAUAUUAUUAUUAUAUUUUUGGUAUCCGUGAAAAUACUAAUUAUUAAACACAGCAAGCUAGGCAAUCGUCACAUUAUUAACUAUUGUCCGAGCUGCAGCCUGCAAGUAUAUAAUAUUAUAUAAUAAUACCGUGUUCGUAUAUUAAUAUGUUAUUGUGAAUAUAUAAUACGAGUAUAGCUAUACAGCAAACACUCAUUAUUUCAACAAUGCAUACUAUGCGUCCAUGCAACGUUAACAAUAGGUACCUAUACGAAAUUUAUAUUUUGUAAAAUUUGAAUACAUUUUGCUUAUUUUUGUUGGUGAAACCUCUAUAAGCUAAUUAUCUUGUUGUUUUUUAGUAAUCUAUAUUUUUAAUUCGCUAAUAUGAAAUAUUUGUAUAAAAUCCUCGACGUAUAUAAAUAUAUA